UACGGGGGGGGCAAGCGUUGUUCGGAAUUACUGGGCGUAAAGGGCUCGUAGGCGGCCAACUAAGUCGGAUGUGAAAUCCCCAGGCUUAACCUGGGAACUGCAUCCGAUACUGGAUGGCUUGAAUCCGGGAGAGGGAUGCAGAAUUCCAGGUGUAGCGGUGAAAUGCGUAGAUAUCCUAAGGAACACCUGUGGCGAAAGCGGCUCACUGGGUCUCUUCUGACGCUGAGGCACGAAAGCUAGGGGAGCGAACGGG
rnacentral:rRNA from 1 species